AGUGUAGGCAGGGACAGGCAGGAGAGUCACAUUACCUGGGUGCUUGGCCCAGUGGUAUGUCACAAUCCCUUAUGUAGGGAGGGCACAGGUAGCAAAAGACUGUCACAUCAUCUAGUUGCUGGACUAGAGCUAUUGGUCUCUCGGUCGUUCAGGGAGAGGGUUAGGAUCUCCUUAGACAUCCAUGUAACAGAGCCCCAACUCAUCCGUGCUCAGAAGCAAAGGCCAGUGGAGACCAAAUAAGGCUUGAAAGCAUACUUUUGAUCAUCGUCCCUGUCGUCACAAUGGGGCGCCUGACACCAAGGAGACCCUGGAAACCCACUGAACUCAGGCCCUGCAGGGGUCAGGUGAACAUGUAGGAAGUCCAGGAGAAAAGUCAUCUGCCGUCUCCAGAAUGAACAGCAUUCCAGGAAGAACUCCCCCACACUCCAGGAAGAAGUCAUGAGCCCAGUGGGGAGGCAGGUCCAGCCUGCAACAACUUAGACAUAUGCGGUGCUCCAUAGCUCAUGCUUGUGUCCUGCAGGCAGGAGCACACAUCAGGGUCCGCAGUCUUUGUUCUGGGUGUGGAAUUAGUGCUUCAGCUGGUUCCCCAGGUGUCCCCAGAGGGGGAAAGGGUGGAAAAGGUAAGAAUCUUCAGCACAGCAGAUCGCCUUGCCCUGGCAGCGACCAGCCCUGCCCCUGAGGGGCACCAGCAGCCCCCAACUAGAGGCAGUCAUGUCAGGCCUCCUCCCUACAGCAACUCUCCUGCCUUUUUUUUUCUUUUUUUCACCGCCCUAACCCCCUACUUUUGGUCAUCCUCCUUGUCACAAUGGGGCACCUGCACUGUAGAGACUCUAGAAACACGCAGAUCUGGGGUCCUGCAGCGUCCAGGCUAACAUGCCAGGAAUCAGAGAGAAAAGUCCUCUGAAGCCUCCAGAAGGAAGGGAACAGGACCCGUCACUGCAGGAAGAAGUGGGGCACCCAGUGGCAGAUGGAGGCCCCACGCACUGCAGAGGUAAAUGUGUAAGGCGCUCCCUGGCCCGCGCCUGUUUCCUGGAUGCUGGAGUCCGUGACCAGGCCUGGGGUGGCCCUUCCACACACAGAAUAAGCUGUUGGGCUGGCUGCCUCACCCAGCACCCGGGCCGCGCCAGAGAGUAUCUCAGAUGCUGCUUUCCUGCCACCUCAGCGACCCCAGUAACACUUCUCCCACAGGGACUCCGCCGUGCCCAGCUCUCCAGCCUGGGGAUUCUCAUCACCCAGUGAUUCCAAAAGAAACGAUCUACAAUGUUAUGACCAAAUGCCAGAAACAAACAAACAAAAUAUCUGAGGGCAGUCCAUUGGUCACUUCCAUUUUUCAAAGGUGACAAUUGUCCCUCCUUGAAAUCUUGAGAGUGCAUGAACAGGCUAUUCUAAUAGAUGUGCAAUUUGCACUAAAACUGAUUGAAGAGCAA
ensembl:lncRNA novel transcript